rnacentral:rRNA from 1 species
GACGAACGCUGGCGGCGUGCCUAAUACAUGCAAGUUGAGCGCUGAAGGUUGGUACUUGUACCAACUGGAUGAGCAGCGAACGGGUGAGUAACGCGUGGGGAAUCUGCCUUUGAGCGGGGGACAACAUUUGGAAACGAAUGCUAAUACCGCAUAAAAACUUUAAACACAAGUUUUAAGUUUGAAAGAUGCAAUUGCAUCACUCAAAGAUGAUCCCGCGUUGUAUUAGCUAGUUGGUGAGGUAAAGGCUCACCAAGGCGAUGAUACAUAGCCGACCUGAGAGGGGGAUAGGCCACAUUGGGACUGAGACACGGCCCAAACUCCUACGGGAGGCAGCAGUAGGGAAUCUUCGGCAAUAGACGAAAGUCUGACCGAGCAACGCCGCGUGAGUGAAGAAGGUUUUCGGAUCGUAAAACUCUGUUGGUAGAGAAGAACGUUGGUGAGAGUGGAAAGCUCAUCAAGUGACGGUAACUACCCAGAAAGGGACGGCUAACUACGUG